CCUACGUGUGGCAGCAGUGAGGAAUAUUGGUCAAUGGCCGGAAGGCUGAACCAGCCAUGCCGCGUGAAGGUCAGUGCCCUAUGGGCGUUAAACUUCUUUUGUGCGGGAGCAAUAAUGGUCACGUGUGGCCAGACGAGAGUACCGUAAGAAUAAGCAUCGGCUAACUCCGUGCCAGCAGCCGCGGUAAUACGGGGGAUGCAAGCGUUUUCCGGAUUUUUUGGGGUUUAAGGGUGCGUAGGCUGGGAGGUAAGUCAGCGGGUGAAUGCCCGCGGUUAACGGGGUGAAGUGCCAUUGAUACUGCCUGGCUGGAAUGCGGAUGCGGUAGGAGGAAUGUGUGGUGUAGCGGUGAAAUGCAUAGAUAUCACACAGAACACCGAUUGCGAAGGCAUCUCACGAAUCCGCGAUUGACGCUGAUGCACGAAAGCGUGGGUAUCAAACAGGAUUAGAUACCCGGGUAGUC
rnacentral:rRNA from 1 species